rnacentral:rRNA from 1 species
UACGGGGGGAGCAAGCGUUGUUCGGAUUUACUGGGCGUAAAGGGCGCGUAGGCGGUCAGCACAAGUCAGUUGUGAAAUCUCCGGGCUUAACCCGGAAAGGUCAGCCGAUACUGCGGGGCUAGAGUGCAGAAGGGGCAACUGGAAUUCUCGGUGUAGCGGUGAAAUGCGUAGAUAUCGAGAGGAACACCUGCGGCGAAGGCGGGUUGCUGGGCUGACACUGACGCUGAGGCGCGAAAGCUAGGGUAGCAAACGGG